CUUCGUUUAGCGGUCGCCAAUAUUUCGCUCCGCUUAACUGACAGCACUCCACGAUAUGACGGUGAUCAAGAUAAAUAACUUUUACUCAGGAAUAUUUUUGUGCAUCAUUAAACAUGGCAAACAUUUUAGCUAGCACAGAGUGCUGGAGGAUCGCCCGUGCAGCCGUCCCCGUGUGCGAUGCUCUGUGCUAAUCAUAAAAGGACACGAGACUCUCCAACCCCGCGAACAUCAAAGCAAGAUGAGAAAUGCACCGCGCGCUCCGAGAACCCUUAACCGUAAAGACGCUCUUUGCAUGCAGACCAGAUAUAAUACAAAACAGCAGCACCACCCAGUCUGGGGAUCUGGGUUGAGUGGAGUACUUCCUCUAGGCCAGGCCCAGCACCUUUUCGAAGUGCUGUGCAUGCAGUAUGGGCGUGGCUAUUGUGGGAACUUCGACUGCUCUCUUCCUUGCGAGUGACCUGAGGACCCGAGACUAUGUCCAGGAUUCACCAGUGCUCCUGCAGAUGGACAGGAGAGAGGACCUAAACUAUCCUGUGCAUCACAAGAGUAUGGCUGCUUGUGUGCUAAACUCAGGUCGGCAGUAAGGAACACCAUCUUUGAUUUCAUACUGCUGAUCAUAAUGCUUAGGAUAGCAAUAAUUAAUAUUCAUAUUAAGAAUCUCCAUUUCGUUAUACCAGGCCUGUUUUUUUUUUUUGUUUUUUUUUGCACGUAUUUAGUUUUUUAUGUACACCUUAGAAUCAGUAUCUUGACACAGGAGAAUUUGCAUGUCAUGUAUCUCUAAAAUAAAAAAAGAAAGAAAAGACUCUUGGAUAA